UGGUGCCCGUGGAGGUCUGGACCUGAGGCCUGUGCUCAUCACGUGGAUAGAAAACACUCUGACACCAUUCUGGAGAUGUUGACUGUGACCUCAGAGGCCAACUGGACCACACAGCUGCAGCAGGAGUGAGGGAGAGGAGUCUUCAUCCAGCUUCAAAGAAAACAUCCAGUUAGAAACCCUGCAGCAACCCGACCCAAAACUGUGUCUUCUUGUUGGCCUCAACGUUGAAGUGUCAAACGUCCAACAUCUGGAAAGGAAACCACGCCAGUGUACUGUGAUGUUUCACCAACAUGUGGCAGACGCUGGUCCUGCCUUUCAUGCUGACAUCAGCAGAGAGCCCCGCCUACCUCAAA